rnacentral:rRNA from 1 species
CCAACAGGGAUUGCCCUAGUAACGGCGAGUGAAGCGGCAACAGCUCAAAUUUGAAAUCUGGCUCUUUCAGGGUCCGAGUUGUAAUUUGCAGAGGGCGCUUUGGCGUUGGCAGCGGUCCAAGUUCUUUGGAACAGGACGUCACAGAGGGUGAGAAUCCCGUACGUGGUCGCUAGCCUUCGCCGUGUAAAGCCCCUUCGACGAGUCGAGUUGUUUGGGAAUGCAGCUCUAAAUGGGAGGUAAAUUUCUUCUAAAGCUAAAUACUGGCCAGAGACCGAUAGCGCACAAGUAGAGUGAUCGAAAGAUGAAAAGCACUUUGGAAAGAGAGUCAAAUAGCACGUGAAAUUGUUGAAAGGGAAGCGCUUGCAGCCAGACUUGCCUGUAGUUGCUUAUCCGGACUUUUGUCCGGUGCACUCUUCUGCGGGCAGGCCAGCAUCAGUCUAGGCGGUUGGAUAAAGGUCUCUGUCAUGUACCUCUCUUCGGGGAGGCCUUAUAGGGGAGACGACAUGCAACCAGCCUGGACUGAGGUCCGCGCAUCUGCUAGGAUGCUGGCGUAAUGGCUGUAAGCGGCCCGUCUUGAAACACGGACCAAGGAGUCUAACAUCUAUGCGAGUGUUUGGGUGUCAAGCCCAGACGCGUAAUGAAAGUGAACGGAGGUGGGAACCCUUUGGGUGCACCAUCGACCGAUCCUGAUGUCUUCGGAUGGAUUUGAGUAAGAGCAUGGCUGUUGGGACCCGAAAGAUGGUGAACUAUGCUUGAAUAGGGUGAAGCCAGAGGAAACUCUGGUGGAGGCUCGCAGCGGUUCUGACGUGCAAAUCGAUCGUCAAAUUUGGGCAUAGGGGCGAAAGACUAAUCGAACUAUCUAGUAGCUGGUUCCUGCCGAA